GGUUGCCCGAAUUUUACCAAAAUCUUUGUCGCUUCAUCGGCUGAAAUCUUGCCAUGAUACCAAGGUGGAACUCCUCGAGCCAUGCAACGACUCGUAUGAAAUGACCACUUUUUGAAAUAACGACAUUUUGGUGGAAAAAAAAGUAGACACAAAGGCAGACAAAAAGGUUGAUACAAAGGUGAACACAACGGUUGACAAAAAAGUGAAAUAAAAGGUGGUCAGAAAGGUAGACACAAAGAUAGACAAAAAGACAGACAAAAAGGUAGAAAGAAAGACAAAAGACUAUGUAAACGAAUAUAAGUAUCAACAAAACUAUCGUACCGCUUGAACAAGUAACCAAAAGUCGGAACCGUGACAAUCUUAUACCAGUAAUUGGAUCGAUGGAAAAGGCCUUAACAAAACCGAUGAAACUUUAGGUUUUGGUUUUGUGUCAAUUACUGUCGACUUUGAGAAAAAUUUUACGCGAUUUUACAAGAGAUUGAGUACAGAAAAAAGUCCUCAUUAUAGAAAAUAUGUAACUGCAAUUCUUUUAAGUGCAACGUCAGUGAAAUGCAUGAAAGAGUUAGUUUUUACAGUGAAAAUUUUUCCUGAAAGAGUUGGUCUAAGUUUAGAAUUUCUUGAGUUUACAGUUAUUCCAUUAUGAUGUUUAUGUCACGCAUAAUUUUAUGAACAGUUCUAUACAGGCAACAUUAC